UCCUACGGGAGGCAGCAGUAGGGAAUAUUGCUCAAUGGGGGAAACCCUGAAGCAGCAACGCCGCGUGGAGGAUGAAGGUUUUCGGAUUGUAAACUCCUUUUGUUAGAGAAGAUAAUGACGGUAUCUAACGAAUAAGCACCGGCUAACUCCGUGCCAGCAGCCGCGGUAAUACGGAGGGUGCAAGCGUUACUCGGAAUCACUGGGCGUAAAGAGCGCGUAGGCGGGCUGACAAGUCAGAUGUGAAAUCCGGGGGCUCAACCCCCGAACUGCAUUUGAAACUGUUGGUCUUGAGUAUCGGAGAGGCA
rnacentral:rRNA from 1 species